AAUUUUGGACAAUGGGGGAAACCCUGAUCCAGCCAUCCCGCGUGUAUGAUGAAGGCCUUCGGUUUGUAAAGUACUUUUGGCAGAGAAGAUAAGGUAUGUCUUAAUAGGAGAUACUGCUGGCGGUAGUUGCAGAAUAAGAACCGGCUAACUACGUGCCAGCCGCCGGGGUAAUACGUAGGGUGCAAGCGUUAAUCGGAAUUACUGGGCGUAAAGCGUGUGUAGGCGGUUCGGAAAGAAAGAUGUGAAAUCCCAGGGCUCAACCUUGGAACUGCAUUUUUAACUGCCGAGCUAGAGUAUGUCAGAGGGGGGUAGAAUUCCACGUGUAGCAGUGAAAUGCGUAGAUAUGUGGAGGAAUACCGAUGGCGAAGGCAGCCCCCUGGGAUAAUACUGACGCUCAGACACGAAAGCGUGGGGAGCAAACA
rnacentral:rRNA from 1 species